rnacentral:rRNA from 1 species
CGCAAGUGACGGUAGUGGGAGAAGAAGCACCGGCCAACUACGUGCCAGCAGCCGCGGUAAUACGUAGGGUGCGAGCGUUGUCCGGAAUUACUGGGCGUAAAGAGCUCGUAGGCGGUUUGUCGCGUCGUCUGUGAAAUCCCGCAGCUCAACUGCGGGCUUGCAGGCGAUACGGGCAGACUCGAGUACUGCAGGGGAGACUGGAAUUCCUGGUGUAGCGGUGAAAUGCGCAGAUAUCAGGAGGAACACCGGUGGCGAAGGCGGGUCUCUGGGCAGUAACUGACGCUGAGGAGCGAAAGCGUGGGUAGCGAACAGGAUUAGAUACCCUGGUAGUCCACGCCGUAAACGGUGGGCGCUAGGUGUGGGUUUCCUUCCACGGGAUCCGUGCCGUAGCCAACGCAUUAAGCGCCCCGCCUGGGGAGUACGGCCGCAAGGCUAAAACUCAAAGGAAUUGACGGGGGCCCGCACAAGCGGCGGAGCAUGUGGAUUAAUUCGAUGCAACGCGAAGAACCUUACCUGGGUUUGACAUGUACCGGACGACUGCAGAGAUGUGGUUUCCCUUGUGGCCGGUAGACAGGUGGUGCAUGGCUGUCGUCAGCUCGUGUCGUG